CCUACGGGUGGCAGCAGUGGGGAAUAUUGCACAAUGGGGGAAACCCUGAUGCAGCGACGCCGCGUGAAGGAAGAAGUAUUUCGGUAUGUAAACUUCUAUCAUCAGGGAAGAAAAUGACGGUGCCUGACUAAGAAGCCCCGGCUAACUACGUGCCAGCAGCCGCGGUAAUACGUAGGGGGCAGGCGUUAUCCUGCUUUACUGGGUGUAAAGGGAGCGUAGGCGGGUUAGCAAGUCAGAAGUGAAAGCCAGGGUCUCACCUCCGGGACUGCUUUUGAAACUGUUGAACUAGAUUGCAGGAGAGGAGAGUGGAAUGCCUAGUGUAGCGGUGAAAUGCGUAGAUAUUAGGAGGAACACCAGUGGCGAAGGCGGCUUACUGGACUGUAAAUGACGCUGAGGCUCGAAAGCGUGGGGAGCAAACAGGAUUAGAUACCCUAGUAGUC
rnacentral:rRNA from 1 species